GAUGAACGCUGGCGGCGUGCCUAAUACAUGCAAGUCGAGCGAAGCGGGGACGGGUGAGUAACACGUGGAUAACCUCCUAUAAGACUGGGAUAACUUCGGGAAACCGGAGCUAAACCGGAUACUUAUAGAUGGAUCCGCGCUGCAUUAGCUAGUUGGUAAGGUAACGGCUUACCAAGGCAACGAUGCAGAGCCGACCUGAGAGGCGGUCGUGCCACACUGGAACUGAGACAAGGUCCAGAGUCCUCUGGGAGGCGCCAGUAGGGAAUGGUGCGCAGUGGGCGAAAGCCUUACGGAGCGACGCCGCGUGAGUGAUGCCGGUCUACGGUUCGUAAAACUCUGUUAUUAGUGCAACGGUACCUAAUCAUAAAGCCACGGCUAACUACGUGCCAGCAGCCGCGGUAAUAC
rnacentral:rRNA from 1 species